AGUGAACGCUGGCGGUAGGCCUAACACAUGCAAGUCGAACGGCAGCACAGUAAGAGCUUGCUCUUACGGGUGGCGAGUGGCGGACGGGUGAGGAAUACAUCGGAAUCUACUUUUUCGUGGGGGAUAACGUAGGGAAACUUACGCUAAUACCGCAUACGACCUACGGGUGAAAGCAGGGGAUCUUCGGCCCUUGCGCGAUUGAAUGAGCCGAUGUCGGAUUAGCUAGUUGGCGGGGUAAAGGCCUACCAAGGCGACGAUCCGUAGCUGGUCUGAGAGGAUGAUCAGCCACACUGGAACUGAGACACGGUCCAGACUCCUACGGGAGGCAGCAGUGGGGAAUAUUGGACAAUGGGCGCAAGCCUGAUCCAGCCAUACCGCGUGGGUGAAGAAGGCCUUCGGGUUGUAAAGCCCUUUUGUUGGGAAAGAAAAGCAGCAGGUUAAUACCCCGCUGUUCUGACGGUACCCAAAGAAUAAGCACCGGCUAACUUCGUG
rnacentral:rRNA from 1 species